rnacentral:rRNA from 1 species
CCUACGGGCGGCUGCAGUAGGGAAUAUUGGACAAUGGGGGCAACCCUGAUCCAGCCAUGCCGCGUGUGUGAAGAAGGCCCUCGGGUUGUAAAGCACUUUCAGUGAGGAAGAACGCCUGGUGGUUAAUACCCAUCAGGAAAGACAUCACUCACAGAAGAAGCACCGGCUAACUCCGUGCCAGCAGCCGCGGUAAUACGGAGGGUGCGAGCGUUAAUCGGAAUUACUGGGCGUAAAGCGCGCGUAGGUGGCUUGAUAAGCCGGUUGUGAAAGCCCCGGGCUCAACCUGGGAACGGCAUCCGGAACUGUCAAGCUAGAGUGCAGGAGAGGAAGGUAGAAUUCCCGGUGUAGCGGUGAAAUGCGUAGAGAUCGGGAGGAAUACCAGUGGCGAAGGCGGCCUUCUGGACUGACACUGACACUGAGGUGCGAAAGCGUGGGUAGCAAACAGGAUUAGAUACCCCAGUAGUC